rnacentral:rRNA from 1 species
ACGAACCGGGCAAACGUUAUUCGGAAUUACUGGGCUUAAAGGGUGCGUAGGCUGCGCUAUAAGUCGGGUGUGAAAUCCCUCAGCUCAACUGAGGAACUGCGCCCGAUACUGUAGUGCUUGAGGAGGAUAGAGGUGAGCGGAACUAGCAGUGGAGCGGUGAAAUGCGUUGAUAUUGCUGGGAACACCCGUGGCGAAAGCGGCUCACUGGGUCCUUUCUGACGCUGAGGCACGAAAGCUAGGGGAGCGAACGGGAUUAGAUACCCCGGUAGUCCUAGCCGUAAACGAUGAGCACUAGAUCGGGGAGACCUCCACAUCUUCCCGAUCGUAGCGAAAGUGUUAAGUGCUCCGCCUGGGGAGUAUGGUCGCAAGGCUG